rnacentral:rRNA from 1 species
GAUGAACGCUGGCGGCGUGCCUAAUACAUGCAAGUCGAGCGAACAGACGAGGAGCUUGCUCCUUUGACGUUAGCGGCGGACGGGUGAGUAACACGUGGGUAACCUACCUAUAAGACUGGGAUAACUUCGGGAAACCGGAGCUAAUACCGGAUAAUAUUUCGAACAGCAUGGUUCGAUAGUGAAAGAUGGCUUUGCUUACACUUAUAGAUGGAUUUCCGCCGUAUUAGCUAGUUGGUAAGGUAACGGCUUACCAAGGCAACGAUACGUAGCCGACCUGAGAGGGUGGUCGGCCAGACAGGAACUGAGACACAGUCCAGAUGCCUGCGCAGCGAAGGAGUAGGCUGUCUACGGCGAUAGGCGAAAGCCUGACAGGGCAACGCCGCGUGUAUGAUGAAGGUCUUCGGAUCGUAGAGCUAUGUUAUUAGGGAAGAACAAAAUUGUAUGUAACUGUGCACGUCAUGACGGUACCUAAACAGAAAGACCCGGCUAACUACGUA